UUCCGGUCCGCCAUACUGUAGGCUCGCGACUCCGGGACUGAGGGAGACUCCUGUGUUCUUUGUGCCGUGCUGUGACCCGCGGUCCGGAGCUGUGGGGAGAGCGGGGCGAGCUCGGAACCCGCCAUGGACGCAGUGACCUAUGAGGAUGUGCAUGUGAACUUCACCCAUGAAGAGUGGGCUUUGCUGGAUCCUUCCCAGAAGAGUCUCUACAAAGAUGUGAUGCUGGAAACCUACUGGAACCUCACUGCUGUAGGCUACAAAUGGGAAGACCAGAAUAUUGAAGAACAUUGUCAAAGUUCUAGAAGACAUGGAAGGUAUAUGAUGUGUCACUCUGGAUCCAACUCGUGUGAUCCUAAGGGAUAUGGAAAGAAGCAAUGUACCUCUCUCUCUCCCCCCCAAAAUAGGAGAUAUGUAGUGGUUCCUGCUAUGAGAAGAUACAGUGAUUGUGAUACAAGUGUUCAAUUAAUUGGAUUUCCAAGUUCACUGGGAACACAUCCACAAACACACGAUGGAAAAGAACCUUGUGAGUACAGGGAAUAUGGAAAUUCUUCUGUCUGCACUGAUUCAUGUUGCACAUGUAAUGUGACUGACACUGCUUGCAGUCAGUGUCCCAAAACUCUCAGUCCUUCCAGUUCUCUUCAAAGUGGUGAAAAGACUCAUUUGGGAAAAGGAUGCUGUAAAUGUGAGCCUUGUACAAAAGGCUUGACCCAUCACAGGUGUCUUCACACACACAGAAGGUUCCAUACCGAAGAGGAACCCUGUGAGGGUAAACAAUGUGACAAAACAUUUAGAUCUGAUUCUUCUUUACAUUUACACCAGAGAACACAUUUGAAAAUGGAACCUUACGAGUAUAAUCAAGGUGAUCAAGACUUUUCAUGUCACAGUUAUCUUCAAGUGCCCAGAAUUUAUACUGGAAAGAAACCGUAUGAAUGCCAUCAAUGUGGAAAAGCCUUUGCACGUCCCAGUGAACGUAAAAUACACGAAAGAAGUCACACUGGAGAGAAACCCUAUGAAUGUAGUCAAUGUGGUAAAACCUUUGCAUAUCCCAGUAGCCUUCAAAGGCAUGAAAGAAAUCAUACUGUUGAGAAGCCCUUUGAAUGUCAUCAGUGUGGUAAGGCCUUUACACAUAACAAUCAUCUUCAAAGGCAUGAAAGAAGUCAUUCUGGAGGGAAACGCUAUGAAUGUCACCAGUGUGGUAAAGUCUUUGCACAUAACAGUCAUCUUCAAAGGCAUGAAAGAAGCCACACUGGAGAGAGACCCUUUGAAUGUAAUCAGUGUGGAAUAGCAUUUUCAUCUCGCAGUAAUCUUCUCAGUCAUGAAAGAAGUCAUGCUGGAGUGAAACCCUAUGAAUGUAAUCAUUGUGGUAAAGCCUUUGCACGUAAGAGUCAUCUUCAAUAUCAUGAAAAAAUACAUACUAGAGAAAAAUCCUAUGUACCUCGCAGAAGAGGUAAAGCUUUGCACAGACGCCUUCGUGUUGGAGGUGCCAGUCCCAUGGGGUGUGCAUCCAGACCAUCCGCAGUGGUGACGUGGAACCAGUCAGAGCCUAGAAGAGAAGUUUGUACUGCAGAUGGCAGAGCCAGUGAAGUGACCCAAGCUCUUUGGAGAGGCCCUGAAGAUUGUGAGUGGGUCCCAGCCAUUAGUAGUGGAGUUAUUUAUGCUGUCGGAGUUUCUUUUUCCUUCUUUCAGAAUGUGACUGCUCUGAUUCUUCCCUCUUGAAGGGGAGGGUAUUUAAUUUAAGUUUGAUUUUUAAAAAAGCCAUAGUUGGAAGACUUUGAACUUUUAAAAGAGAUCUUGGAUUUUUAGUGAGAUUGGAUAUUUUUAAAGAAAAAUUUUAAUGCAUUUGAAUUUGUAAAGCUUAUGGGACUUUUAUUAAAGUUAUUUAUGUUUUCAAUAUGAAAUUUUGGGAAUGAAUAGAAAAGGGAAGGUUGUGGCUCAACAGUGAUGUGUUUGCAUGUGAAGCUGAGAACUCACCCACUGCACUGACUGAUCGUAUGUCAACUUCACGUACAAACUGGACUUACCUGACAGGAGGGACACUCAGUUGAGAAAAUGCCUCUGUAAGAUAUGGCUAUAAGGCAUUUUUUAAAUGAUUCAUGGGGAAGGGUCCUGGGAUCUGUAAGAAAGCAGGCUGAACAAGCCAAAGAGAGCAAGUCAGUAAGCAGCACUCCUCCAUGGCCUGUGCAUCAGUUCCUGCAUCUAGGUUCCUGCCCCAGUUAGGUUUCUUUCCUGACAUCUUUUAAGAUGAGCAGCAAUAUUGAAGAGUAGACUAAAUAAUGCUUCCCAUAUUGCUUUUUCAUCAUGGUGUUUCAUUGCCAACAUUCUUACUAAGAAAUCCUGUCUCAAAAAAUCAAAAAAACAGGGUUGUGGUCAGACAGGGCAGCAAUUAAACACACUGGCCGUUCUUCCAGAUGACAAAGUUUCAAUUCCCAACACCCAGAUGGAAGUUUACAACUUUCUGUAAGUCCUGUUCCACGGUAUCCAACACACUCAUAGAGACAUACAUACAAACAAAAUGCCUAUACAUGUAAAAUAUAAACUAUUCUUUAAAAAAUAUAUAUAUAUCACAUUGUGGAACUUUAACAUAAUCUGGACUCAUCUCUACUCGAGUAAAUGUUUUGUUGUCCUCUUUUACAUCAGGAGAAUGGUAUUGACAAUUAUAAUUCGAAGCCAUGUCCAGAGUCCAUUUACAGAGGGAUAGAAAUUAUUUAAUCCUUCAAUGCUCAAACAGGGAAUUUCAUCACUAUGAAGUGAGAGAAAGCAGGAGUACUGGCACAUCUUCAUCUUCUACACUAUAACGACAUAUUUGGGAGUCAGGGAUCUGCCUCAGUAGUAAUGUUGGGUACCCACAUUUGAAUACUAGCACCCGCAUCAGAUGGCUUAAAACUACUUCUAAAGCCUUGUCCUGGAGAUCUGUUGCACUCUUCUGGCUUCCUUGGGCACCAGGUAUGCAAAUGGUGCAAAGAUAGCUAUGUAUGUAUUUGUGUAUGUAUAUUUUCCAUAGUUUAAAAAAAACUUCAUUUAUGUGUUUUGUCUUUUCCUAAAUUAAAAUAAAUUUGGGUGUAUUUUUGGAACAUGGUUCUGGGAAGGGGUCUUUUGAAGAGAAGAGAAUUCCACAUGCUUAUGUUAACAAUUCAAGAAAAGACAAGAGUCUUGAGACCUUGGUUUCUUGAAGACGUGAAGUUGUUCUUGGCAUGUGUUUCUGUGUUCCUCCCAGGUGCAGUAGGCAGGACUGAGUUGACUUCAGGUUGUACGUUAUUGCUGGCUGUUGUUACUCAUUAGAUGCUUGACUUCAGGUUGUGUGUUAUCGCUGGCUGUUGUUACUCAUUAAAUGCUUAAACUAUCAUUCAUAUGCCCAUAUGGAAAGACAUGUUUUGGCCCAGGUUGCUUGUUUUUGUCAUUGUAUACAGUUUGAACUUAUGAGACCUUUCUUCCUCAUGUGACUUUUUUUAACCUGCCAAAUAUAAAUUGUCUCGGGCUCUGAAUAAAGUUGGCUAUUGU